rnacentral:rRNA from 1 species
AUUGAACGCUGGCGGCAGGCCUAACACAUGCAAGUCGAGCGGAUGAAGGGAGCUCGCUCCUGGAUUCAGCGGCGGACGGGUGAGUAAUGCCUAGGAAUCUGCCUGGUAGUGGGGGAUAACGUCCGGAAACGGGCGCUAAUACCGCAUACGUCCUGAGGGAGAAAGUGGGGGAUCUUCGGACCUCACGCUAUCAGAUGAGCCUAGGUCGGAUUAGCUAGUUGGUGGGGUAAAGGCCUACCAAGGCGACGAUCCGUAACUGGUCUGAGAGGAUGAUCAGUCACACUGGAACUGAGACACGGUCCAGACUCCUACGGGAGGCAGCAGUGGGGAAUAUUGGACAAAGGGCGAAAGCCUGAUCCAGCCAUGCCGCGUGUGUGAAGAAGGUCUUCGGAUUGUAAAGCACUUUAAGUUGGGAGGAAGGGCAGUAAGUUAAUACCUUGCUGUUUUGACGUUACCAACAGAAUAAGCACCGGCUAACUUCGUG